rnacentral:rRNA from 1 species
UACGAAGGUGGCAAGCGUUACUCGGAAUUACUAGGCGUAAAGGGCAGGUAGGCGGUUUGAUAAGGCCGUUGGGAAAGCUCCCGGCUUAACCGGGAGAGGUCAAUGGAUACUGUCGAACUUGAGUAUGGGAGAGGGUACUGGAAUUCCUGGUGUAGCGGUGAAAUGCGCAGAGAUCAGGAGGAACACCGAUGGCGAAAGCAGGUACCUGGACCAUUACUGACGCUCAGCUGCGAAAGCUAGGGGAGCAAACAGG